GUGCCGGCUCAGCAGCACCUCUGCUAAAACUGGAAUCUUGCAAAGAAGAUUAGCAGGCCCCUGCGCCAGGAUGAGACACACAGUCAUGAAGCAUUCCAUGGUCUU
rnacentral:snRNA from 1 species